UAGGGAAUAUUGGACAAUGGGCGAAAGCCUGAUCCAGCAAUGCCGCGUGAGUGAUGAAGGCCUUAGGGUUGUAAAGCUCUUUUACCCGAGAUGAUAAUGACAGUAUCGGGAGAAUAAGCUCCGGCUAACUCCGUGCC
rnacentral:rRNA from 1 species